UACGAAGGGGGGCUAGCGUUGCUCGGGAAUCACUGGGCGUAAAGGGUGCGUAGGCGGGUCUUUUAAGUCAGGGGGUGAAAUCCUGGAGCUCAACUCCAGAACUGCCUUUGAUACUGAGGAUCUUGAGUUCGGGAGAGGUGAGUGGAACUGCGAGUGUAGAGGUGAAAUUCGUAGAUAUUCGCAAGAACACCAGUGGCGAAGGCGGCUCACUGGCCCGAUACUGACGCUGAGGCACGAAAGCGUGGGGAGCAAACAGG
rnacentral:rRNA from 1 species